GGGCCCGCACAAGCGGUGGAGCAUGUGGUUUAAUUCGAUGAUACGCGAGGAACCUUACCAGGGCUUAAAUGCAGAAUGACAGAUUGGGAAACCAGUCCUUCUUCGGACAUUUUGCAAGGUGCUGCAUGGUUGUCGUCAGCUCGUGCCGUGAGGUGUCAGGUUAAGUCCUAUAACGAGCGCAACCCCUAUCAUUAGUUGCCAGCGGGUAAUGCCGGGAACUCUAAUGAGACUGCCAGCGCAAGCUGCGAGGAAGGUGGGGAUGACGUCAAAUCAUCAUGGCCCUUACGAGUAGGGCUACACACGUGCUACAAUGGUACAUACAAAGAGUCGCGAUCUCGCAAGAGCUAGCU
rnacentral:rRNA from 1 species